GUCCACGCCCUAAACGAUGACAACUAGUUGUUGGGGAUUUAACAUCCUUAGUAACGUAGCUAACGCGUGAAGUUGUCCGCCUGGGGAGUACGGUCGCAAGAUUAAAACUCAAAGGAAUUGACGGGGGCCCGCACAAGCGGUGGAUGAUGUGGUUUAAUUCGAUGCAACGCGUAAAACCUUACCUACCCUUGACAUGCUAGGAAGCCCGAUGAGAGUUGGGUGUGCCCGAAAGGGAACCUAGACACAGGUUCUGCAUGGCUGUCGU
rnacentral:rRNA from 1 species